GCAAACAAAAAUAUUGGAAACCUACUGGCUAGACUAUGCCCCUCAAAAUGUGGUCAUCCUGGUGACCCUAAAAGAGGCAGUAUGGUACAGGAGAAAAAGAACUGGAUGUAGAGUAAGAGGACCUCCAGCAUAGUGGAAAGAGUGUUGAAAUUGGAAUCAGAAAGAUCCCUAAAUUCACCAUCUACUUCAAGAACUUCUCAGAUGUGUGAUCCUGGACUUCUCUGAGUCUCAGUUUCUCAUCUGUAAAAUGAAGGCGUUGGACUACAUGGUUUCUGAGGUUCCUUUCUGAUCUCUAUCUCUUCAACACAAUACGGUAAAAUGGAUGGAGUGUUCAAUUUGGAAUCAGAAAGAACUAGGCAAAAAUUCCACCUUGGACUCUUCCAACGCAUGUAGAUAUCCAAGUUGCAAUUCCUGGGCUAACUAUACCCAUUUAACACCUCAGAAUCACAGAAAUCCAGAAAUGGAAGGGACUUCAGAGGCCAAGAAGACAUACCACCUGGAUAUGAGAACAAAUCAUGUCUAUACCAUCUCCAAUUAUUGAUCCUCCAGUCUUUGCUCAGAGACAAGAAUGAAAUAAAGAAUGAAGACACAUUUCCUCAAAGGCAUGUUUCAAUAAGCCUCUAUUGGUCUCUAUAAUUCCAACUGUUUUCACCAGUUCUUACUUCUGGGAUCAAGUUUCAAUUCCUCUACAUGGAUGUCCUUCAAAUUCUAGAAACUAGUUUUCAUGUCAAACCAAAUCUUCUCUUCUUCAAGUUAGAAAUCCCCCAGUUCCUUCAGUCUAAUCUUGCAGGACAUAUUCUGGUUUAAGGCAUUUUAAAAAACUGAUUACAGUCUAAUGCCUUCUACUGCAUUAUGAGCUCUUCCUUCCCUUUCAAGUAAUUGAGAAAGGGCGCCAUCUUGGUUGUCUUUCUUUAGAUGUCCUCUAGAUUAGCAGUGUCCUUCCUAAAAUAUGGUGCUCAGAACUAUACAUUUAUCCUGAAGAUGUGGUCUGUAUGGGGCAUAGUAGAAUGGGCUAAUCCUUUCCUUCAUUCUAGAUACCCAAUCAACUAGAAUACAAACUAUGACUGCAUUAACAUCAUGACCUGCCAUACUGUACCAAUGACUCAUUCUGAAUUUGGAGUAAGCCACAGUCCCUUGACCUUUUUCUUGAAAAUGAUUGUCUAGUCAAACAUCCUUAUCUCUUUCAAAGACUUGUAUUUUUUUCAUUCAAAUUUAGAACUUUGCAUUUAUUACUCUUAAAUUUUGUUUUAUUUGAUUUAGUCUAUUGUUCUAUUCAGUCGACAUCUUUUGGGACCCUAUUUUGUUAUUCAUCAUGUUUGCUGACCUUUCCAGUUUUGUGUUAUCUGCCAGCUGUUAAGCAUGCCAUUUAUUCUACCAUUACUACAAAUGUUAAAAAACAAACAAACAAACUUACAGAUCAAACUACAGAUCCAGGGAGUACUCUACUAGAGAUUUCCUUCCAUAUUGACCCAUAAGUGACUAGCGUCUGGUCCCAUUAUUCAACUAAUCUGGCAGUGGGUCAACCAGCAUGUAUUAAGCAUCACUGUGUUGUAGGUUCUGUGCUAUGCAGUAGCUACAAGGAGAGGAAUAAAAGAGCUCGAAUUCCAAAGGGAGGAACAACAUGUAAAUAAUGACAUAUCUACAACACAUGGAUGCACACACAGAGAAUAUGAAAGGUAAUCGCAAAGGCAGGACACUAGGCAAGAGGAGGAGUACAAUUACUGGGGAAGGAUUCCUAUAAAAAAUAUCAUCAAACUCCAAAAUUAAUGGGGCUCCUGAACCCUACAUAAGGAACCCUGUUGCUACAUACUGAUUUAGAAAACUACAAAUUCACAUUAUCUUGUUCUUUUGGAUUUUUACUUUUGUCAAGCACAUCCCAAUUACAUUUCAACCUGGUUUAAUAGCUUGGGACUAUUCCAUGUUUGAUGCCUCUUCUGUAGAAGGUUGAAUUUGAUUUGAGUCCUAAAGAGAAACUAGGGAAAAGCAAAGAGAUGGAAAUAAGAAGGGGAGAGCACUGGGACAGCCAAUGCAAGGCACGCAGAUUCGAAAUGAGGUAUGAUGUUUGAGGAACACAUUCACUUGGAUUGAAGCCACCCACAUGUUUUAUAGCCUCCUUCUUCCUCAUCUUAUGAUGAGGAGCAUCUUACGAGCAUCUUCUGAUCUUAUGAGCAUCAAGAUCUCUAGCUGUCCAAAGCCUACUAUUUGUAUACUAGGAAGUGUAACUUGUUCCAAAAUUAUCUCACUCCUACCAAAAAUCUCAUCUUUCCCAACUUAGCUAGUGGUUAGGAAAUCUGAUGGUCAUAAUUAUGGUGAUGGAGAAAGUGGAAAAUGUAGGAAGGACACAAAGCCUGGUGUAGCCUACCAGCCCUAAGUGCUGCUCUGGUGAAGUCUGGCUCAGCCCCCGGCAGGAGCUUCUCUAAGUUCCGAUCUCCAUGUGGAUUUCCCAGAAGUCCUCAGCCAGAAAUCCCAGUGGUGUCUUCAGCCAGAGUUCCACCAAUGCAGAAUGACUCCAAGGAAAAGCGUGUCUCUUCAGCUUUACUCACCUAUGCAGAAUCCAAAACCAGACCAUGUUGGUCUCUUCUUUUAUACCCCUUUUUUGGUAUUGUUUCCUGUCUCUCCCCCUCUUCACAGAAACCACUUGCAGCCUUUCAAUUUGCCUAGGACUGCCCAGGACUGGGCAAUGCCCUUUGGAGGUGAGAGUUUUCUCUAGUACGUGACUUGGGAAGUCUCUCAUUUAAGUGUAAAGUAGGGGUCUUGUGAGUUCUUCAUUGAUUGAGUUAAAGGUUGCUGAUAGAGCACAUUAAAAUAGACAAAGAGAGUUCAUUCUCUCUUCACAAGACGGUUCUACCAAAUCGCUAUAUUCUUUUAAGAUGGAGUUCAAGCAUGCCCUAUCACAGGCUCUUUCCUGACCCCCCCCCCCCAAAGUACUAGUGCCCUGCCUCUCAAACUGCCUUACCUUUGACUCCUCUUCAUUUAUUUAUCCUUAUUUAUAAUCUAUAAAUACGUCUAUAUGUACUUGCCUCUCCCAUUAGAACAGAAGCACUUUAAGGAUAGGAAUUUCAUUUUUGGUCUGUGCCUCACACUGAAUAAGUGGGUAAUGAGAUCAUAGAUUUAAAGCUGGAAGAAACUGAAGAACCUAAAGCCAAGAGAGGUUAUAUGACUUGCCCAAGGUCAUACCUAAGAUGGCAGAGGCAGGAUUUGUUUGGAACUCAAGUUCUCUGGUUCCCAAACCAGCAAACUUUCCUCAGUACCUUGCUAACUGAUAAGCCAUAAACAUAUUGGUCCAAUUUAAAAUGUAUCUUCCAAAAUAAAAUCCCCAAUUAAAAUCUAAGAAAAUGGAAAGGUUAAUUAAUAUGGCCACAUUACUAUAUGCAAUUUUUCAAAAGUAUAGCUUUUCAGGUUAACUUCAGCAUUCAACUUUUUUACUUUUUUCUUUCACUGUGUUCUGUCUUGCUGUCUUUAGUGAUUGAAGAUUCCAUUCACAUCUAAACUAUUAUAAGCAGACUUUAUGAUGGCCAUUGGCUCUUUUUCAGAUAAAAAUAAAUAUUUCUAUUAUUUAAAAGAAAAAUAUAUGUUUGGCUAUAUGCUGUAAAUAGUCUGGAGUAGUCUUGUCAAAAUAAAGUUUCAGAUUUGUUUUUAA